AUUUGAAAAUUGGAAAAAUUUGCCUUGAUUUAUGCCAAAAAAUUAAAAAUAUUCUUCUGCUUAUUUUUGGGUUUUUGAUUGUUUUGAUAAAAAAGUAACGGUUUUACAAAAUUCUGUGCGACCACUACCGAUGCCGGAUAAUCGGCAAGUUCAGAACAAUGCAGUGUCGAAUCAAUCCGCUGAGAACUUUGAAGAAGCAAUUUCGCGGUUGAAAAUUAAUGAUAAUAAUCAAGAGGUGGGUGUUUCGAAAUCAGCUUCUUACCCUGAUCGUCCUGGUGAACCGGAUUGUUCUUAUUAUUUAAGGACUGGAUUAUGUGGUUAUGGAAGUAACUGUCGUUUCAAUCAUCCGGCUUAUGAUGCUCAGGGUGGGCAAUACAGAGAAGAACUCCCCGAAAGAGUUGGACAGCCUGACUGUGGGUACUUCUUAAAGACAGGAACUUGCAAAUAUGGAUCAACAUGUAAAUAUCAUCAUCCAAAGGACAGGAAUGGGGCUGGACCUGUUACAUUAAACGUUCUUGGUCUUCCUAUACGUCAGGAUGAGAAAUCAUGCCCUUAUUACAUGCGGACUGGGUCAUGCAAGUUUGGAAUUGCAUGCAAGUUCCAUCAUCCCCAGCCUGCAUCACCUGGGGCUGGCUUUCCUAUAAAUGGACUUGCAGGAUCAGUGAUUUUGCCAUCAUCAGGUGUGCCAUAUGCUGGUGGAUUAGCCACGUGGUCAUUACCUAGGGCACCAUAUGUCUCUGGCCCGCGUUUACAAACCCAAAGCUACAUGCCUGUUGUUGUUUCUCCUUCUCAAAGCAUAAUACCUGCACAUGGCUGGAGCACCUACAUGGGAAAUAUGAGCCCUAUAUCUUCUGCUGGUAUUCUUGGAUCCACUUAUGCUUACAACUCAAUGAAUCCCGCUGAGUCGGGUUCUAGUGGACAGGUGCUCUUAUCAUCAACAUCUGCUUCAAAUUUUCCUGAAAGACCUGAUCAACCAGAAUGUCGGUAUUAUAUGAACACUGGCACUUGCAAAUAUGGAUCUGAUUGCAAGUACCAUCAUCCGAAGGAAAGGAUUGUAAAUUCAGUGGAAAAUGGUAUUGGACCACUUGGGCUUCCUGCGAGACCUGGGCAAGCUGUUUGUUCUAGCUACACUAUGUAUGGGUUCUGCAAAUAUGGGCCAACUUGCAGAUUUGAUCACCCUUAUGUGGGAUAUCCUUCUAAUUAUGGUCUAAGCCUGCCUUUAUCUGUGUUUGAUACAUCGCCCCUUACAUAUCAAAGAAUGUCACCAACAGCCCAUUUAUCUGAAGCUCCUCUGCCAUCAAAGCUUCCUGAUUGGGCACGGAACACUGGCUCUGUGAGCAAGAAACAUCAGAACUUGGAGACUAAGAAUUCAGACAAUCCACCUGAACGGGCUACUUCUCCACAGCAUUCUUUGCGGAGUUCUUCCAAAACCUCACAUGAUUAAACUGAUUUAAUCAGUCAUUUUGUUAUCUCUGAACUUGUCCCUUUUGUUAAUUUGUACCCUUCCAAGGAGACUUUCAUCAUAUGUACCUCCUGCACCCCUUUCAUCUGUGAUCCGGCAGAGUGUUUUAUGUUGUUUGGAUAUUUGCUUUGAGCAAAAUACUUGGAGACCCGGGAGGGGGGGGGGAGGCAUUUUUUUGUGGUGAAUAAAGUACAGGUGAAAAGUUGUAAGAUCCUUUUUCCUUGUCGGAGUUAUGUCAUCAGGAUCUAUACUUUCAUUGUUAAUAGUCACUAGAAUGUUUUAGUUUGAUUGCGAUGGUUGAGUCUUACUUAAAUGGUAAGCAGUUGGCAGCUUAGGUCCAUUUUAUAUCUGCAAGAACUGAGUAGACCUAUGACUGAAUUAGGCUGAUGAAGCCUUUGAUUUAUGCUCUAGUUAUGGUAAGUUGGUAGAAGGCCAUGAAGGUUUGAGAUAAAUGGUAGCAAAGAUCUUGUUGGAACUCUAUAAAAGAUUUCAGCUAAAGAAAGUAACUUUAGGUGACUAAUGGUUGGAGGUGGGCGAAUCAGAAAAUAUACAUGUAGGAAUUUAUAUUUUAGACGCCAUUGUUCUUCUAGUUUGUUAAGAAUGGCAAACGAAGAGAUGAACUAUGUUGGGGAAUGCAUGUAUAUGAAAUAAAGGUUAUGUAUAAAUAUGCUUUCAAACCCCAGCAUAUGACAUGAGAAGCAUUCCAAAAGACCUUCCUCUUUUUCUUGGCUAUGUAGGAAAGAAAAUGAUGUGAAGAGUUUGGUGAAUGACCUCAAAGGUCAUGACGAAGGCAAGCUGGUUAUAGCAUACAGAAAGGGCUAAGCUCAUGCAGAUUUUAUUCAUGGUGUGAAUGCUAAGUAAAACGAAGUGUUCAUGAAUAGUACAAUCAGUAACAGAUGAGUUCUAAACAGACAAAUUCUUAACAGCUAGAUUAUGGAACUUAUUCUCAAGGUAGAGAUGUCAGGUGUGAAGUCAAGUAGCAAUAAGGAAAUUGGACCACAAGGCUAAUGGUAAUGGUAGGUUGAACACAAUUCAUGUGCCGUGAGUCUGUAGGGCCUAAAUGCAUGCUAUUUCAGUAUGGUCCUAGACGGUGCAACUGAUGAAACUUGGAAAUUAAUGCAGAUAUUUUGCCUAAAGAGUGAAGUGAUUCUGAGCUGUAAUGUGAGCUGCUACAAAAGGAUCCAUACAAUAAUCUCCAGGGUGAUGAUGACCCUUUUUCCUUUGUGAUGACAAGAAGAGCUCCUCACAGCGAACAGCUCGAGGGGUUGAAACUGAAACUGCAUUUGCCUUUUCAGAAGUAGCUGUAGGAGACCUUAAUAUUUUCUUCAGCAUUCUACCAUAUUUGGUGAGCCACCCCAUUCUCUCACCCUUCUCAUCAUCUGCUUUGUUUCCCAUGAUUUAAUUUCUUCUCUGUAUCUUGAUCUUGAGCAAUUCCUCCCCCUACCAAUUCCAAGUUUUAAUAAUACUUGAAAUCACAUGCAAAAUGUGUAAAACUUUUGGGGGAGUGCUUUAUGAUUCGUCUUUUUUGCUGUUACCAACAUGAAUGUGAAGAAGCCGCAUUGUCUCGUCUCUUUCUUGCCUUUUGAAAGGAUGUUACGCAAUCAAUGUCUCAAUCUGUUAGAUUAUUGAGAGAGAGUCCCUAAAAUCAAAGCAAAAGCAAUGCAAAAGCUGAAACUGAUGCAUACUGGCUUACAACAUCCUAACGUAACCUAGCGGUUAUGGCAUACCGUGACCGUUGCCAACCCAACCAACGUUUGAAAUGUGAGAGAGAGAAGUAAGCUCAGCUCACGCCAUCUCCGACGCAUGCUAAUGCCAUGGGAAGCAUAUGUGGAUUACACUUAAACUAAA